rnacentral:rRNA from 1 species
GGAUGCGAUCAUACCAGCACUAAAGCACCAGAUCCCAUCAGAACUUCGAAGUUAACCGUGUUUGGGCGAGAGUAGUACUAGGAUGGGUGACCUCCUGGGAAGUCCUCGUGUUGCAUUCC